rnacentral:rRNA from 1 species
AGAGUUUGAUCCUGGCUCAGAAUUAACGCUGGCGGCAUGCGUAACACAUGCAAGUCGUACGGGAAAGCCCGGUUCGCCGGGCGAGUAAAGUGGCGCACGGGUGAGUAACGCGUGGGUAAUCUACCCCGGUCUGGGGGAUAACGCACCGAAAGGUACGCUAAUACCGCAUGACCCGGCGGGUUCUUGAACCUGUCGGAAAAGGUGGCCUCUACAUGUAAGCUACCGAACCGGGAUGAGCCCGCGUCCUAUUAGCUAGUUGGUGGGGUAAAGGCCUACCAAGGCGACGAUGGGUAGCUGGUCUGAGAGGACGGCCAGCCACACUGGAACUGGUACACGGUCCAGACUCCUACGGGAGGCAGCAGUGAGGAAUAUUGCGCAAUGGGGGAAACCCUGACGCAGCGAUGCCGCGUGGGUGAAGAAGGCCUUCGGGUCGUAAAGCCCUGUCAAACGGGAAGAACAGUCUGGAGACGAAUAAUCUUCAGGCCUGACGGUACCGUUGAAGGAAGCACCGGCUAACUCCGUGCCAGCAGCCGCGGUAAGACGGAGGGUGCAAGCGUUAUUCGGAUUUAUUGGGCGUAAAGAGCAUGUAGGCGGUCGGUCAAGUCUGAUGUGAAAGCCCGGGGCUUAACCUCGGAAGGGCGUUGGAAACUGGUCGACUUGAGUUCGGGAGAGGAAAGCGGAAUUCCGGGUGUAGAGGUGAAAUUCGUAGAUAUCCGGAGGAACACCGGUGGCGAAGGCGGCUUUCUGGACCGAAACUGACGCUGAGAUGCGAAAGCGUGGGGAGCAAACAGGAUUAGAUACCCUGGUAGUCCACGCUGUAAACGAUGGGCACUAGGUGUGGGGGGUUUUAAUCCCUCCGUGCCGCAGCUAACGCAUUAAGUGCCCCGCCUGGGGAAUACGGCCGCAAGGUUAAAACUCAAA